CCCGGGCGGCUCUGCCCUCGCAGCCGCUCUCACGGCGGGGCCCGGGCGGCUCUGCCCUCGCAGCCGCUCUCACAGUUGCCCCUGUGCCGCUCACAGCCCUCGGUCUCCUUCCCUCCGUCCCAGUCCCGGUUGUAAUGCCGCUGCACCCAGGGCAGCCGGCGGUGGCGUUGUCGCUGAGAGAAGCGGGCCCCGCCAGAACAUCUAUAGGGUCGGUUAGGUUGGAAAAGGUCUGAGAUCAUCGAGUCCAGCCUGUGACCGAACACCACCCUGUCACUUAGACCAUGGCACUGAGUGCCACCUCCAGUCGUUCCUUAGACACCUCCAGGGACGGUGACUCCAGCACCGCCCUGGGCAGCCCAUUUUGAUGUCUGAUCAAGCUUUCUGGGAAGAAAUUCCUCCUGCUGUCGAACCUGAACCUCCCCUGGCACACCUCACGUCCUGUCAUCCUGUCGCUGCUUUCCUGGGAGAAGAGACCGACCGCCUCCUGAGGAGAAAAGGAGUAGUACUUCCCCUUCCUGCCUGCUUCUGUUCACACAUGGACACACGUACUUCCCACGCCAAAGGCAUCCCUAUAUUCCAGACAGGGAUUGGGCUGGACUGGAAACGUUGCUGUAUUUCCUGCAGGCCAAGCACCCCUUUUGCCUAAGGUGAUGUCCUGAAGGCUUAAGAGCAAAAAUCUGGAUUCUUCUGAAACCAACCUUUUAUGAAAGUACAUGCACAUGAGCUGAAGAAUAGAAUAUUAGGAAGAUCAAAAGAAAUACCUUUCCAACAGUGAGAGACAUGGAUCUAGAUGAACGAGGAACCCCAUCUUCUGCACAGAAACAGAGAUAAAGAACAGUCUUAGACUAUAUUUUCCACAUACUGCAUCAUUACUUCUGUUGCUUUUGACAUACGCUUCUCCUAAGCAAGAAAAGAAGGAAAUAUCCAGGCUGCAGGGGUGCGUUACCUGACGCUACAACAGAUGUCUGUCAAAAUGGCAAAUAAAACUCAGAAGGUGAACACAGCCUCCACCCCAGGCUGGCAAAGAGUGCACCUGUGGAUCCGGGUAAACACCGGGGUG